GUCGCCUGUGCCAGAAGCAGCGAGAUGAAGUAGUCCUCCGGAUUUCAGUGUCGUCUAGCAUUGCCAGUCGCCUCUAUGGUAUGCCAUCUUGCGUCACGACGUUGCGUCACACUCCCAUCCCCAUAGUAAGCGAAGUAUUGACAGAGUGAUAAUGUACUGAGUUAACGCAGUGGAGGACUGAGUCUAGCUUUUCGAGAAUGUGGUGGUCCAAUUAACGUUUGGAUUUACAUCGAGAAGUGCUGAUCGUGAGCGCGCACAGAUGGAUCAAUCGUUACAAUUUCUGUGUCCAAGCACUUGAGAAGUGCCAUAAGAAAUAAUUCCCUUUUCUGUAAACUAUGCUGCACAGUGGCAUGACAGUGUAAGACUGCGAGUAAAUCAGGUGAGUCGUCGUAUUUCAUAGGUGCCUCAGGUAGGUGCAUUUGGCCGAUGAUAUACCUCGGCAGUCUGCCAAGUUUCGGGGUGGACGGAGAGGAGAUCAGGGCCCGUCGUGAGGGUGUGAAGAUUAGUUGCGCGGGUGAAAGGAAAUGGGGAGAAAAAGAACUCAAAUGAAAAGUACCUCCGAUCAUCCCCUUUUCAAAACGCAAUUUCAUCGCAAUGUUAAGAAGUAUGUCGAAGUUUUUGCAGUCGCGGAAUAUGGAGGGUGCACUUUACGCAGUGUCUCACUUCAUCGGUUUGUUGGCGAUCAGCGCUGGACCUUCAGGGAUAACGGACGAUCACGAGAACUUGAAUUAGUUGUGCACGUAUUGCCACGGCGAGAGAAGACGUGGCACGGGAGCAACGUAGCCGGGGGAAGCGCGCGGUUGUGCACGUCUGCAUAGAUGGAAGCCUGUUCGAAAUUCGCCUGGCUUCUAUAGCGUUUCCCAAAAACAGUAUUCCCGUGUUCUCGUGCCGAUAGGCUGCUGGAAGAGCGGUAUGCAGCAUGGCUAAUGACGUGGCCAGCAGUGUCGGACGCCUCCUCACAGUUCGAGAGUUGAGCUUGCGUUCUACGAAGACCGCUCGAAUCCUUGUUUCAUUGGCAUUCACUGUGGUGUUUUAGAAGUAUCCUCUUUUUCAGUCUGUAAGCUUUUGACUUCUAGCUGUCUCGUAGGCGUGAUCAGUCGAUUCAGUGUUGUACUUUGUCGUUGCCUAAUUAGGGUGCUAUCGAGUUGCGUAUCGGGGCAAAGGAUCAUAGGUCGUGCCGGUGGC
rnacentral:lncRNA from 1 species